CCAAAACUCACAAUCGAAAAGACUGGCAGCGGAAAGCAAGGACACGAGUACCAUAACCAAAAGGUGAUAGGUUAUGUGAUGCGUAGAAAACGCUGCUGAAUGUGGGUGCAAGGUGGCCAGGUGGAACGGACAACUAGUUCAUUCUGCAGAACAACAAUGUUGGCCUAUAUGCCUACAGGAGGGAGCUCUUGAGGAUGGAUGGCUAAUUGAGAUGCAGCUGAUGAGGAUAUGAGCUGGCUGGAAUGGAAUGGACUGGAGAGAGGACUUUGACUGUAGUCAGACUAGUCUGAAGAGUCCACCAUGGAGACCCCAGUCCCCAGGCUCCAACAAACUCACAGCCAACCCAAACAUUUUGAUGUGUCCGACACUUAUUCAUUGAAGUAAAUAGCUUGGACCUUAGUCACGGUCAAAAAGUGACAUUAACAUUAAGUUGGGUACAUUUGAACUAGACUAGAAUGUUGUAGUCUGGUGUGAUGAACAUUGUUUAACUUCUACUUAUUCACUGCUGGCCUAUAAGAGUUAUAAGUAUCAAUCACAUGUAUUUAUAAAACCCGUUUUACAUCGGCAGAUAUCACAAAGUGCUUAUACAGAAACCCAGCCUAAAAUCUCCCUAGAAAGGCAGGAACCUAGGAAGAAACCGAGAGUGGAACCAGGCUCUGAGGGGUGGCCAAUCCACUUCUGUCUGUGCCGGUGGAGAUUAUAAGAGUACAUGGCCAUUAAGGCUAGAUUGUUCUUCAAGAUGUUCAAGCGUUCAAAGAUGACCAGCAGUGUAAAAUAAUAAUCACAGUGGUUAUAGAGGGUGCAACAGGUCAGCACCUCAGGAGUAAAUGUCAGUUAGCUUUUCAUAACUGAGCAUUCAGAGGUAGAGAGGUAAGGAGAGAGAGAGAAGAAACAGCCGGUCCAGGAUAUAUUAGCAGGUCCAGUGAACAGGUCAGGGUUCCAUAGCCUCAGGCAGAACAGCAGAAACUGGAUCAGCAGCACGACCAGGUGGACUGGGGAUGGGGAUGAGGACUGCUAGGAGUCGUCAGGCCAGGUAGUCCUGAGGCAUGGUCCUAGGGUUCAGGUCCUCUGGGAGGGGAGAGAGAGAGCAUACUUAAGAUCACACAGGACAUCAGAUAAGACAGGAGAAAUACACCAGAUAGGACAGACUGACCCUAGCCCCCAGACACAUAGACUACUGCAGCAUAGAUACUGGGGAUUGAGACAGCGGGGGUCGGGGGACACUGUGGCCUCGUCCGACGAUACCCCUGGACAGGGCCAAGCAGGCAGGAUAUAACCCCACCCACUUUACCAAAACACAGGCCCUACUGUACACCACCAGAGGGAUAUCAACAGACCACCAACUUCCUACCCUGAGACAAGGCUGAGUAUAGCCCACAAAGAUUUCUGCCACCACAUGAGCCCGAGGGUGCGUAACACCGGACAAGAAGAUAACGUCAGUGACUCAAUGCACUCAAGUCGAGUAUAGCGGAAAAGUCCUGGCAAGACUUGAUGAACCCCUCCCAUGAGAGAACACUAGCAAGCCAGUGACUCAACCCCCGUAAUAAGGUCAGAGGCAGAGAGUCCCAGUGGAGAGCCGGCCAGGCAGAGACAGCCAAGGUAUUUCGUCACUCCAGUGCCUUGCCGUUCACCUUUGCACCCCUGGGCCAGACUACACUCAAUCAUAGGACCUACUGAAGAGAAGAGUCUUCAGUAAAGACUUAAAGGUUGAGACAGAGUCUGCGUCUCUCACAUGGAUGAGCAGACCAAUACAUAAAAGUUGAGCUCUAUAGGAGAAAGACCUGCCUCCAGCUGUUUGCUUAGAAAUUCUAUGAACAAUAAGGAGAUCUGAGUCUUGUAACCGUAGUGUAUAUGUAGGUAAGUACGGCAGGACCAAAUCGG
rnacentral:lncRNA from 1 species